rnacentral:rRNA from 1 species
GACGGAGGAGGCAAGCGUUAUCCGGAAUUAUUGGGCGUAAAGCGUCCGCAGGCGGCUUUUUAAGUCUGUUGUCAAAGCCCACAGCUCAACUGUGGAUCGGCAAUGGAAACUGGGAAGCUAGAGUGUGGUAGGGGUAGAGGGAAUUCCCAGUGUAGCGGUGAAAUGCGUAGAUAUUGGGAAGAACACCGGUGGCGAAAGCGCUCUGCUGGACCUGCACUGACACUGAGGGACGAAAGCUAGGGGAGCGAAAGGG